rnacentral:rRNA from 1 species
UACGUAGGUGGCAAGCGUUGUCCGGAAUACUGGGCGUAAAGCGUGCGCAGGCGGUUAUAUAAGACAGUUGUGAAAUCCCCGGGCUCAACCUGGGAACUGCAUCUGUGACUGUAUAGCUAGAGUACGGUAGAGGGGGAUGGAAUUCCGCGUGUAGCAGUGAAAUGCGUAGAUAUGCGGAGGAACACCGAUGGCGAAGGCAGCCCCCUGGGCUGACACUGACGCUCAGGCACGAAAGCGUGGGGAGCAA